rnacentral:rRNA from 1 species
AUUGAACGCUGGCGGCAUGCCUUACACAUGCAAGUCGAACGGUAACGCGGGGCAACCUGGCGACGAGUGGCGAACGGGUGAGUAAUAUAUCGGAACGUGCCCUAGAGUGGGGGAGUAACUAGUCGAAGACUAGCUAAUACCGCAUACGAUCUAAGGAUGAAAGUAGGAGGGAUCGCAAGAACCUCCAUGCUCGUGGAGCGGCCGAUAUCUGAUUAGCUAGUUGGUAGGGAAAGGCCUACCAAGGCGACGAUCAGUAGCUGGUCUGAGAGGACGACCAGCCACACUGGGACUGAGACACGGCCCA